rnacentral:rRNA from 1 species
AUGGAUCCGAACAAGAUUUUGAACGUCAGAUUUCAUAUUGGAGGGCAGUUCAUCCACAAUGGUCCUGUUCUUUAUGUUGGGGGCGAUGAAGAGAUGUCACAUAUCGAGAGGGACAAGUUGUCAUUGCAAGAAGUUAGAGGGCAUUUGAAAGACCAUGUUGAUUUGAAGGAAUCGAUGAAGUUGUAUUUUCUGUAUCCUGGGAAGGAACUAGCUGAGAGUCUGGUGUUUUUGUUUGAUGAAAGUGGUUGUAUGAAUAUGGCAGACUAUAUUUGUGUUGGAGAUGUAGCAGAUAUUUAUGUGGAAUAUCAUGGGGAGCAGGACAGUGAGUACAACAGUAGUGGCAGUGAUUAUGAGAAUGAGAUAAUGGAUGUAAGUGAUGAUGAA